GCAGUCGAGGGGUAUAGGUUUUCGGACCUAGAGACCGGCGCACGGGUGCGUAACGCGUAUGCAAUCUACCUUUUACAGAGGGAUAGCCCAGAGAAAUUUGGAUUAAUACCUCAUAGUAUUAUUGAGUGGCAUCAUUUAAUAAUUAAAGUUCCAACGGUAAAAGAUGAGCAUGCGUCCCAUUAGCUAGAUGGUAAGGUAACGGCUUACCAUGGCAACGAUGGGUAGGGGUCCUGAGAGGGAGAUCCCCCACACUGGUACUGAGACACGGACCAGACUCCUACGGGAGGCAGCAGUGAGGAAUAUUGGUCAAUGGGCGCAAGCCUGAACCAGCCAUGCCGCGUGCAGGAUGACGGUCCUAUGGAUUGUAAACUGCUUUUGUACAGGAAGAAACAGUUCUACGUGUAGAACCUUGACGGUACUGUAAGAAUAAGGAUCGGCUAACUCCGUGCCAGCAGCCGCGGUAAUACGGAGGAUCCAAGCGUUAUCCGGAAUCAUUGGGUUUAAAGGGUCCGUAGGCGGUUUUGUAAGUCAGUGGUGAAAGCCCAUCGCUCAACGGUGGAACGGCCAUUGAUACUGCAAGACUUGAAUUACUAGGAAGUAACUAGAAUAUGUAGUGUAGCGGUGAAAUGCUUAGAUAUUACAUGGAAUACCAAUUGCGAAGGCAGGUUACUACUAGUGGAUUGACGCUGAUGGACGAAAGCGUGGGGAGCGAACAGGAUUAGAUACCCUGGUAGUCCACGCCGUAAACGAUGGAUACUAGCUGUUCGAG
rnacentral:rRNA from 1 species